AGUGAACGCUGGCGGUAGGCCUAACACAUGCAAGUCGAACGGCAGCACAGUAAGAGCUUGCUCUUACGGGUGGCGAGUGGCGGACGGGUGAGGAAUACAUCGGAAUCUACUUUUUCGUGGGGGAUAACGUAGGGAAACUUACGCUAAUACCGCAUACGACCUACGGGUGAAAGCAGGGGAUCUUCGGACCUUGCGCGAUUGAAUGAGCCGAUGUCGGAUUAGCUAGUUGGCGGGGUAAAGGCCCACCAAGGCGACGAUGCGUAGCCGGUCUGAGAGGAUGACAGGCGACACUGGAAGGUAGACACGGUCCUGAAUCCGACGGGGGGCAGCAGUAGGUAAUCUUCCGCGAUGGGCGAAAGCCUGACGCAGCAACGCCGCGUGAUUGAUGAAGGUCCGCGGAUCGUAAAACUCUGGUAUUAGGGAAGAACAUAUGUGUAAGUAACUGGGCACAUCUUGACGGUACCUAAUCAGAAAGCCACGGCUAACUUCGUG
rnacentral:rRNA from 1 species